rnacentral:tRNA from 1 species
GUCGGGAUAGCUCAGUUGGUAGAGCAGRGGACUGAAAAUCCUCGUGUCACCAG